rnacentral:ncRNA from 1 species
UGAAAAGCUGUGAAAGCGUAAAGUAGCAAUGCAUUUUCUGGCAGAGAGAGAGGAUCACCGGCUGCAAGUCCUCUUCAGUUCUUAUGCUUUGUGAAUUUCCCGCCGGAGCUGCCUGCCGAACCCCCUGAAAAUAUGACGGAAAGUAGGACAGGACGUGACACGCGUUAAGUGAAAUGAGUGCCCGGGCAACCGGGAAGUUGGGUGGUACCACGGAUUUGAUUCGUCCCUUGC